rnacentral:rRNA from 1 species
GACGAACGCUGGCGGCGUGCUUAACACAUGCAAGUCGAACGGUGAACGAGGGAGCUUGCUCCCUCCGGAUCAGUGGCGAACGGGUGAGUAACACGUGAGCAAUCUGCCCCGAACUCUGGGAUAAGCGUUGGAAACGACGUCUAAUACCGGAUACGACGCGGGAGGGCAUCCUCUCCGCGUGGAAAGAACUUCGGUUCGGGAUGAGCUCGCGGCCUAUCAGCUUGUUGGUGAGGUUACGGCUCACCAAGGCGACGACGGGUAGCCGGCCUGAGAGGGUGACCGGCCACACUGGGACUGAGACACGGCCCAGACUCCUACGGGAGGCAGCAGUGGGGAAUAUUGCACAAUGGGCGCAAGCCUGAUGCAGCAACGCCGCGUGAGGGACGACGGCCUUCGGGUUGUAAACCUCUUUUAGCAGGGAAGAAGCGAAAGUGACGGUACCUGCAGAAAAAGCACCGGCUAACUACGUG